rnacentral:pre_miRNA from 1 species
AAGAGAUGUGAAAACACCUUAGAAGUUGAGCUAGAUAGAAAAAGAAAGGCUCUUGAAACAAGAUCCAAAUUCCUCAAAGCAUGCAAACCAACCAACAAAUCUCUACUUAGUAGGGAGUCCCCUUUCAAAAAAUUGGAGAAGGUAAAUCCCUACUUAGUAGAGAUUUGUUGGUUGGUUUGCAUGCUUUGGGGAAUUUGGAUCUUGUUUCAACAGCCUUUCCUUUUAUAUCUAACUCAACUUCUAAGGUGUUUUCACAUCUCUU